UCCUUCCUAAGUGUGGUUACAGA
rnacentral:misc_RNA from 1 species